UUUAAAUUUCAUAUUUAUUGUUUAUAAAGUAUAUAAAUUUAUUAUUUUUUAAAUAUAUAGCAAAUAAUAAAUAUUUUUUAAAAAUAAAAACAUAAAACACAAAAGUCAAUUUAAAUUUAAGAAAUUAAAUAAAUUAAAUUGGCAACACAAUAAAAAUAAAAUAAAAAAUUACAUUAAAAAAUGAAAUAAAAUGAAGGAAAAAAAUGAAUAUAAAUUACAAACUAAAAAGAUGAAAAAAAAAAAAAACAAAAGAGAAGAAAAGAAAAGAAAAGAAAACAAAACAAAUCUCCUCUCUCACUCUUACGUGUUAGAGGUGGUAAAACCAACUCUCCUAUCUCCUUCAAUCACCUUCCCUAAAUUAAACCCCC
rnacentral:lncRNA from 1 species